rnacentral:lncRNA from 1 species
GGCCUUAUUUGAACAAUUUAUUAUCAGGUUUUUGAUUGUACCAAGUGUACUGGUAAGAAAAAUAGACAAUUUAGUAGUGGAACAAUGGCUUGAAGACGAAAUAAAUCUAUAUAUGUAAGGUGUUUUGUGUAGCUUUGGAAGCCAAUACAUAGUAGGGACUUUCAUUGUAUUCGGUUCUGCUUGUAAAGCGGUAGCUAAAAGUUUAUGUUUGUU